rnacentral:tRNA from 1 species
UCCUCGAUAGCUCAGUCGGUAGAGCGUUCGGCUGUUAACCGAAAUGUCACAGGUUCGAGUCCUGUUCGGGGAGCCA